rnacentral:rRNA from 1 species
AGUGAACGCUGGCGGUAGGCCUAACACAUGCAAGUCGAACGGCAGCACAGUAAGAGCUUGCUCUUACGGGUGGCGAGUGGCGGACGGGUGGGGAAUACAUCGGAAUCUACUUUUUCGUGGGGGAGAACGUAGGGAAACUUACGCUAAUACCGCAUACGACCUACGGGUGAAAGCAGGGGAUCUUCGGACCUUGCGCGAUUGAAUGAGCCGAUGUCGGAUUAGCUAGUUGGCGGGGUAAAGGCCCACCAAGGCGACGAUCCGUAGCUGGUCUGAGAGGAUGAACAGCCACACUGGAGCUGAGACACGGUCCAGACUCCUACGGGAGGCAGCAGUUGGGAAUAUUGGACAAUGUGCGCAAGACUGAUCCAGCCAUACCGCGUGGGUGAAGAAGGGCUUCGUGUUGGAAAGCCCUUUUGUUGGGAAAGAAAAGUAGCAGGUGAAUACCCCGCUGUUCUGACGGUACCCAAAUAAUAAGCACCGGCUAACUUCGUG